AACGAACGCUGGCGGCAUGCCUAACACAUGCAAGUCGAACGAGACCUUCGGGUCUAGUGGCGCACGGGUGCGUAACGCGUGGGAACCUGCCCUUAGGUUCGGAAUAACUCCCCGAAAGGGGUGCUAAUACCGGAUAAUGUCUUCGGACCAAAGAUUUAUCGCCUUUGGAUGGGCCCGCGUUGGAUUAGCUAGUUGGUAGGGUAAAAGCCUACCAAGGCGACGAUCCAUAGCUGGUCUGAGAGGAUGAUCAGCCACACUGGGACUGAGACACGGCCCAGACUCCUACGGGAGGCAGCAGUGGGGAAUAUUGGACAAUGGGCGAAAGCCUGAUCCAGCAAUGCCGCGUGAGUGAUGAAGGCCGUAGGGUUGUAAAGCUCCUUUACCCGGGAUGAUAAUGACAGUACCGGGAGAAUAAGCUCCGGCUAACUCCGUG
rnacentral:rRNA from 1 species